GGUUAAGUUAUGAAGGGCGCACGGUGGAUGCCUUGGCACUAGGAGCCGAUGAAGGACGGGACUAACACCGAUAUGCUUCGGGGAGCUGUAAGUGAGCUUUGAUCCGGAGAUUUCCGAAUGGGGGAACCCAUUGUUCGUAAUGGAACAGUAUCCAUACUUGAAUACAUAGAGUAUGGAAGGCAGACCCAGGGAACUGAAACAUCUAAGUACCUGGAGGAAGAGAAAGCAAAUGCGAUUCCCUGAGUAGCGGCGAGCGAAACGGGAUGUAGCCCAAACCAAGAGGCUUGCCUCUUGGGGUUGUAGGACACUCUAUACGGAGUUACAAAGGAACGGAGUAGACGAAGAAGUCUGGAAAGGCUCGUCAAAGAAGGUAACAACCCUGUAGUUGAAACUUCGUUCCCUCUUGAGUGGAUCCUGAGUACGGCGGGACACGUGAAAUCCCGUCGGAAGCUGGGAGGACCAUCUCCCAAGGCUAAAUACUACCUAGUGACCGAUAGUGAACCAGUACCGUGAGGGAAAGGUGAAAAGCACCCCGGAAGGGGAGUGAAAUAGAACCUGAAACCGUGUGCCUACAAGUAGUCAGAGC
rnacentral:rRNA from 2 species